CUGGGGUGGUGACAAUGUUCCUUACCUUGACUGGGGUGGUGCUUGCACAGAUGUAGACUCUCCCCACGGAUGUCUCACUCUAAGCCAGGCUGGACGGGCACGAGGCCAACAAGCAACACGCAUGUCCACAGCCGCUGCUCCAGCCCUCGCAACACGCCCGCCACACCGGCAACCGUUUGAGGUUGAAAAACUGUCCAAGUCCGUCCUGGGCUCCUCCAAGGAGGUCGUGGUUUGAUCUGAAGUCUCAUGCCUGUCAUUACCAUCCUAUCUGUGCCUGCGAAACGGAUGUGACAAGCGCUGCCUCAGAGGAGCGAGAGCCUCAAAACCAGGUUCUUCAGGAAUGCACGCAAGGGCCCCUCCCAGGGACGGCCUGUGGACCUGGAGUCAGAAACGAGGGACUGUCCCUGUUCUGCCACUUGGCAGCGCUGUGGGCUUAGACAAGCUGCCCGGCCUCUGAGUCCGGCCCUCGUGUGUCAAACAGACACCGCUGGGCUCUAACUUAAAUGUCAAAGCCAGUUAUCAUUCUCACAGUCACGGUGACCUUGAACCACCGAAACUUACUUUAGCCAAUCUCGUCUAAACACACGCCCCCUUACUUUUACCAAACCCUUCUUCAAUCUCAACCUCUACUCGUUUAAGACAGAUCUGCAAGUAAGGGAAAAAACAGUAAGAUGCAGAAUGUCUUAUUUACGUGAAAAAAGGCCAUAAAAACACAAUUUAGCAUCUUUAGGCGUAAAACAUCUCUGCAGCGAGACACAAAAACCUUGACGCUGGCUGCCAAGGAGGAGCGUAGACACGUAGACAAGGAGGGAGACUGACUUUGUCCUUUCACAUCCUUUUGCACAUCUGACAUUUACAUCAUGGCAAUACCUGAUCGGCUCAAAAUCCUAAGUAAAGCGUAAAUGAAAAAGAAAAUCGGGACGCACGGCAUGCACUCAUUCCUGGAACCACAUUUUCACCUCUUACCUCCCGGAUAAUAGCUAUCAUUUGGGGGCAUUUCUUCCGCCCAAAGAGUCGUGCCGAGCGCUCCUUUAAAAAGCUCAUCACCGUUUUGCAGACACGGAAACAGGGCUCAGCAUCCUGCAUCCUUCACACGCGAGCGCACCGCCCCCGCGCCAGGCGGGGAAGCUCCGCGACAGGAAGAGCCGUGAGUCUCCAGGCCUUCCCACCCCUCGGGAGGCGGGACAGCCCCUUGCUCCCACCUGCAGCCUCGCCCCCGCGCACCGCCUGCCGAGCGGCCCGACCCCGACCCCGGGGGGAGGGAGACCGCACGCCGGGCAUCCGACAGGCGCCGGGCCCGGGCCGUGAGCCCUCGACGCAGGUCUUUGUGUUGCCUGGGCCUCAGUUUCUCCAUGUGGGUGAAGGGGGCCGGAGGAUCCCGAGCAGCCCGGCUCUGCCAUUCCGAGGCUCCGGCGCCGGCCCCGGGCGGCAGCGGGGAGCCCGGCCCGGCCGCUCCUCGCACGCGCCUCUCGGGUCCCCUCGGCUUCUCGCGGGAGAUGCGGGCAGGAGGGAGAAAGCCCCGCGGGGCGGCCUCCGACAGAGGCCGAACUUCCGAGACCGAGAUCCGGCCGCUCGGAAGCCGCUCACGCGCCCGCCUGUCAGAACCGUUUCCGC
rnacentral:lncRNA from 1 species